rnacentral:lncRNA from 1 species
GCCGAAACAGUGCCCCAUCUCCAUGCUUGGACAUAGUUUUUUUUGUUUUAUUUUAUUAAUUAGUUAGUAAUUAAAUCUUAGAUCAAUUAGAUUAAUUAGGAUAGUAGAUUUUAAUUAGUUUAGUUAUAUUUUAGAUUUAGUUGUUAAGAUUAGACUAAUUAGAAGAUUAUGAUUAGAUUUUAGAUUAUAUUAGAUUGUUUUAGAUAAUUAGAAUUAAU